GUGGUGGAGCAGUAAACGCAUCUCCGUUGCAAGGAGACUGUCGCGGGUUCGAAUCCUGUC
rnacentral:tRNA from 1 species